UUAGAUGUAAUUUCUUCUGGUUUUUGAAAUAUCACUAGUUGAUCUAUUAACACUUGCUUUGAUUUUGGCUUUAUAUGUAACCAGAUGAGCCUUCUAAAGAACUGCCGAAGUUUUCUGUCAAACUUUUUCUUCAUUCCAUCGGGCAUGUUGCAGCGAAAUUCCAAUAUGACCAGGAUUCACAUGCUAACUUCAUCAAGAGCUAUGUUUCACAUGGCAGGUAAUAAUUUCUGCUUUUCGGAGAAUCCCUAGAUCUUCUUGGAAUGCAAAAGAAAGGUUAUGGAUGUUCCUGCUUUCUUCCUUGUCAGAAGCAGAGAAGGUUCUAGGAAAAAUAUCUAAUUAUAAAGUUUAGUUGGAAGUGGUAAAAGCCAAAAGUAAGUCUUCCAAAUCAAAAGAUGAGUCUGAAUCUCUUAAAUUUACUCAAAAGAAUCUGAUUAGCAAGGUUUGCAUGGAAGAAGCCCUGAACAUAAUCUUGACUUGUACAAUUUGUUUGGAAGAUUUUCUUAUUACCUAGAACUAUGAUAGGUCUAUAGUUUUUACUGCAACAUUUUCUCAGGCCUUGGCCAAUAUUGGAGUAGUUUAAAUCAUUUUGACUGGUAUAUGAUCAAAACUAAAUCAUGAUAUAUUCGAUUCUAGAUAUAUACUAAUUCCGCAGAUGACAAGAUUCCUGCUGUUCUUGAAUAUCUCAGAGCUGUCAUUGAGGCUGGUUGCAAGUUUCUUAUAUUUGCGCACCAUCAGCCAAUGAUAGAUGCGAUACAUGAGUGCCUUCUUAAGAAAAAAGGGGGUUGCAUCCGAAUUGAUGGAGGUACACCCGGUGCUUGAAGGCAACAAUUGGUUAGAUUUUUAGGAAAAGGAUUAUAUCAAAGCGGCUGUGCCAUCCAUUAAAGCUGGGGGAGUUGGAUUAACUUUAACUGCUGCAAGCUUUGCAGAACAAUCCUGGACUCCAGGUGACCUGAUUCAGGUCAAAGAUUGUGCUCAUAGAAUUGGCCUGGUAUUCUCACACUCACUAAGUAGAAAGGAGAGAGUUGUUACUAGUUGCAUGACAACAUUAAGAAAACAGAUAAUCUCAAAUGAAAAGAACUCUCACAUCUAAAUUUUUGAGUAGCAAAGACAACAUGUGCUCUGCUAUUUUUUUUACUAGUUAGUUCUUGUUUCCAGGUCUCAUCAGUAAAUAUAUACUAAUUGUUGGCAAAUGAUACGGUUCACGACAUCAUAUGGUAGGUUCUGUUAUUUCUGCAGUCUUUCGCUGUUUGGUAUAGCAUUGAUAACAUUUAUUAUGCAUUGAUGAUAUAAAUUUUUACAUCAUACGGAUGUGGUGCAAUUCAAACUGGAUAAUUUGGGGCAGGUACAUUUCUACAUCUUCUUGAACUAUCAUAUGUAAUGCAAAAUGUACUAAUGCUUAGCUUCAAGGUUUCCAUUCUGGUUUAUAUUCAUAUUUUGUCAAGAUUUAUACUCAAGUAGCAUUUGAGAGCUACUUUUUGAUGUUUUUGAGAAACCAUUCUGAAUUUUAGUUAUUGAAAAAUCAGAUGUUAGAUGGCCAUGAGAACACCUUAGUUGUGCCAAAUAAUCAGCCAUUGAGUAGCCCUGCAAAGCAUACUACUAUUGAGCAUAGCCCUUCAAGGCAGAGAACUCUUGACCAGUUUGUUAGAAGAUGUGAUAACGUGGAUAGGUCAGAAGUCGGAACAUCAGCCUGAACCGAAACGGCCCUGUCAGUCAUGACUUGCAAGAUAUGCAAAAUGGAUUUCCAUUUUCGCAGAUACGUGGCCAGGGGCAAGUGAAUCGGAACUUAAAUGUUUAUGUCUACAUGCAGAACCAGAUGUGCUUACAUGGGGAAUUCACCUUUGACUACUCAAAUGCCUUUUGAAGCUGAAAUCCGUUGUACAACAAAUAAUAGAUUUUGAAUAGAACUGACUACACUAAACUAUGUUGCUUGUGCUGGAGAUAAUGGUUUGGUUAUGUGAAAUAUGUGUUAGAAGAAAAUGUUGAUAAAGUCACCCAUCAUAUUUUAGGUUUCCACUUAUUGUUCUUAACUUUUUGCUUCCCUAUCGUUUGUUUUAGUUUGGGGCUCUGUACAGAGUAGUACAUUAUCAUAUAUGAAUGAGACUUGUAAAUUUCUUUACUCCAUAUGUAUGUAUCAUUAUAUUUUGUAGCAAUGAUCAUCUUUGAAAGAAUAGACUCAUAGAA